GACGAACGCUGGCGGCGUGCUUAACACAUGCAAGUCGAACGAAGAGCGAUGGAAGCUUGCUUCUAUCAAUCUUAGUGGCGAACGGGUGAGUAACGCGUAAUCAACCUGCCCUUCAGAGGGGGACAACAGUUGGAAACGACUGCUAAUACCGCAUACGAUCCAAUCUCGGCAUCGAGACUGGAUGAAAGGUGGCCUCUAUUUAUAAGCUAUCACUGAAGGAGGGGAUUGCGUCUGAUUAGCUAGUUGGAGGGGUAACGGCCCACCAAGGCGAUGAUCAGUAGCCGGUCUGAGAGGAUGAACGGCCACAUUGGGACUGAGACACGGCCCAGACUCCUACGGGAGGCAGCAGUGGGGAAUCUUCCGCAAUGGACGAAAGUCUGACGGAGCAACGCCGCGUGAGUGAUGACGGCCUUCGGGUUGUAAAGCUCUGUUAAUCGGGACGAAUGGUUCUUGUGCGAAUAGUGCGAGGAUUUGACGGUACCGGAAUAGAAAGCCACGGCUAACUACGUGCCAGCAGCCGCGGUAAUACGUAGGUGGCAAGCGUUGUCCGGAAUUAUUGGGCGUAAAGCGCGCGCAGGCGGAUUGGUCAGUCUGUCUUAAAAGUUCGGGGCUUAACCCCGUGAUGGGAUGGAAACUGCCAAUCUAGAGUAUCGGAGAGGAAAGUGGAAUUCCUAGUGUAGCGGUGAAAUGCGUAGAUAUUAGGAAGAACACCAGUGGCGAAGGCGACUUUCUGGACGAAAACUGACGCUGAGGCGCGAAAGCCAGGGGAGCGAACGGG
rnacentral:rRNA from 1 species